rnacentral:rRNA from 1 species
UGAACGCUGGCGGCGUGCCUAACACAUGCAAGUCGAACGGAGAAUUUACGCUGAUGAAGCUUCGGCAGAUUCUUGUAAAUUCUUAGUGGCGGACGGGUGAGUAACGCGUGGGCAACCUGCCUCAUACUGGGGGAUAACAGCUGGAAACGACUGUUAAUACCGCAUAAGCGCACGGUAUCGCAUGAUACAGUGUGAAAAACUCCGGUGGUAUGAGAUGGGCCCGCGUCAGAUUAGCCAGUUGGCAGGGUAACGGCCUACCAAAGCGACGAUCUGUAGCCGGCCUGAGAGGGCGGACGGCCACAUUGGGACUGAGACACGGCCCAAACUCCUACGGGAGGCAGCAGUGGGGGAUAUUGCACAAUGGAGGAAACUCUGAUGCAGCGACGCCGCGUGAAGUGAAGAAGUAUUUCGGUAUGUAAAGCUCUAUCAGCAGGGAAGAAAGACUCGUAAGAGAGAUGACGGUACCUGACUAAGAAGCCCCGGCUAACUACGUGCCAGCCGCAGC